GCAAACAUGAAAUGGGCCCAUAAUUGAAUACAAUCGUCCGUCUUCCACUUCACAGCUUCUGACGACAAAAACCGACGACGUUCAGCGGACACCUGCAGUCGUGGCCGAACCGAUUCAGAGGAAUCAAAACAACGACGACCCUUGAUCGCAUCGAUUAGAUUACAACGAUUCGUGGCGUGGAAGCGAUUUAAUCGUUCGUUAAUCGCAUGGAAAAAUCCUGGCGUCAAUGUAUCACAGUCGCAGAUCAAUAUCCGGUUUAUGAGUCUCAAUCGUCCAGGCAUAACCAUCCGAAGCGAUCGAGACCUGCCAUGGAAAUCGUUACCACAUUUCGUGUAAAAUGGUUGUAAUAAAACUUCGAAUCGUAUGAUAACGAAUUAGAAAGCCAAAUCACCAGUAAGGCACAUGGAGCCUUCAAAGAGGUUCCUAAAAUUAGGUUAUUUGGACGAAAACCAUCACCUGAAUGGUUUCGUUCAAAAAACAAAAUAUUAAGUGAACGGUGGGGGAAGGAAAUUUUUUUAUUUUUGGUGGACCUUUAGCGGCGAUCUUCCGAUCGCCAUAUAAUAUAGUUUUUGCGGCGAAGAGUGACGACUUUGUUGUCGCAAAAA